rnacentral:misc_RNA from 1 species
UGAAGGGAUCAUGGCAUGGUAAUAUAUCAAAUUUACACUAAUACCACAUAAAAUGUACACAAAUUUUCAGAAUAUUGUGCCUGUCGCGAGAUCAACUUAUCAGCUUGAUUUUACUGUCUCGAUGGCGGCAACUAAAUCGUCGAAUUUGGCCCCUGUUACUUCUUUUACAACUUUGUUGUCCUUGAGAAUCUUGAAGGUUGGAACCACCCUUAAUCCGAGCUCUUUUGCCAAAGGCUUGUUUGUUUGAUUGCAGUCAAGCUUGAGAAAGACGACAUCGAGGUGUUUCUCUGAUAAUUCUUGAUAUUUAGGGGCAAUCACCUUACAAGGGCCGCACCACUGAGUAUACAUGUCGAGAACAACCGCCUUAUCCCCGGCGGCCUUCACGAUGGGCCAGAACGUGUCCUUAUUCACCUCCGUCACCGUCCCAACAGUGACGACCACGCCGGUUGAUAUGUCCAAGCUCGAUCUCACCACCACCGCCCGGCCCCUCCUGGCAUUCACCGAAACCCUAGCGACCCCGCCGGCCCCUCGCCGAUCUUGAACGGCAAAGGCUCGGAUCGGGUAGGCCGUGGACGGGACGGGAGAGGAGCGGAGUGUGGGAGAAGGGGAGAGGGAGAUCUGUAGCGACAUUGCCG